UACGUAGGGGGCUAGCGUUGUCCGGAUUUAUUGGGCGUAAAGAGCGUGUAGGCGGCCAGGUAGGUCUGCUGUGAAAACUCGAGGCUCAACCUCGAGAUGUCGGCGGAAACCAUCUGGCUAGAGUCCGGAAGAGGAAAGUGGAAUUCCUGGUGUAGCGGUGAAAUGCGCAGAUAUCAGGAAGAACACCCGUGGCGAAGGCGGCUUUCUGGGCGGUACUGACGCUGAGACGCGAAAAGCGUGGGGGAGCGAACAGG
rnacentral:rRNA from 1 species